rnacentral:RNase_P_RNA from 1 species
UCGCUGUUUCUUUCGGUUUGUCGAGGGAGAGGGAGGAAAGUCUGGGCUACAUAGAGCAACGUACUUCUUAACGGGAAGGUGCAGGAGAAGUUCGCUUUGACUGUAACAGAUAGUGCCACAGAGAAUAUACCGCCUUAGUUAUGCUAAGGUAAGGGUGAAAAGGUGAGGUAAGAGCUCACCGGAGCGUUGGUGACAAUGUUUGCGAGGUAAACCUUACGUGUUGAAAGACCAUGUAAAUCUCAAAUUUAGAAUUGCUCGUUCUAAUAUCUUCGGAUUGUUGAGAAGGGUGGGUCGAUUGAUCUCGUCCGUGAGGGCGAGGCUAGAUAAAUGAUAGACGUUACGCGUGUUGCGUGAUUACAGAACCCGGCUUAUGAUUUGCCUUU